UGGUUGUCGUCAGCUCGUGUCGUGAGAUGUUGGGUUAAGUCCCGCAACGAGCGCAACCCUCGUCCUAUGUUGCCAGCGGGUCAUGCCGGGGACUCAUGGGAGACUGCCGGGGUCAACUCGGAGGAAGGUGGGAGUGACGUCAAAUCAUCAUGCCCCUUAUGUCUUGGGCUUCACGCAUGCUACAAUGGCCGGUACAAAGGGCUGCGAUACCGCGAGGUGGAGCGAAUCCCAGAAAGCCGGUCUCAGUUCGGAUUGGGGUCUGCAACUCGACCCCAUGAAGUCGGAGUCGCUAGUAAUCGCAGAUCAGCAACGCUGCGGUGAAUACGUUCCCGGGCCCUU
rnacentral:rRNA from 1 species